CAGGCCUAACACAUGCAAGUCGAGCGGGCACUUCGGUGUCAGCGGCGGACGGGUGAGUAACACGUGGGAACGUACCCUUUGGUUCGGAACAACUCCGGGAAACUGGAGCUAAUACCGGAUACGCCCUUUUGGGGAAAGGUUUACUGCCGAAGGAUCGGCCCGCGUCUGAUUAGCUAGUUGGUGGGGUAACGGCCCACCAUGGCGACGAUCGAUAGCUGGUCUGAGAGGAUGGCCAGCCACAUUGGGACUGAGACACGGCCCAAACUCCUACGGGAGGCAGCAGUGGGAAUAUUGGACAAUGGGCGCAAGCCUGAUCCAGCCAUGCCGCGUGAGUGAUGACGGCCUUAGGGUUGUAAAGCUCUUUCGCACGCGACGAUAAUGAC
rnacentral:rRNA from 1 species